AACGAACGCUGGCGGCAGGCUUAACACAUGCAAGUCGAACGAGCUGGGAACUUCGGUUCCCGAUGCUAGUGGCGCACGGGUGAGUAACACGUGGGAACGUACCCUUUAGUACGGAAUAACUCAGGGAAACUUGAGCUAAUACCGUAUGACUCCUUCGGGAGAAAGAUUUAUCGCUAAGGGAACGGCCCGCGUCUGAUUAGGUAGUUGGUAGGGUAACGGCCUACUAAGCCGACGAUCAGUAGCUGGUCUGAGAGGAUGAUCAGCCACACUGGGACUGAGACACGGCCCAGACUCCUACGGGAGGCAGCAGUGGGGAAUAUUGGACAAUGGGGGCAACCCUGAUCCAGCCAUGCCGCGUGAGUGAAGAAGGCCUUCGGGUUGUAAAGCUCUUUCGACGGGGACGAUGAUGACGGUACCCGUAUAAGAAGCCCCGGCAAACUUCGUGCCAGCCGCCGCAGUAA
rnacentral:rRNA from 1 species